UCCUGCUACGGUGGCGAGCGGCCCCUGGACGAGACUGACGCUCAGGUGCGAAAGCGUGGGGAGCAAACAGGAUUAGAUACCCUGGUAGUCCACGCCGUAAACGAUGUCGACUUGGAGGUUGUGCCCUUGAGGCGUGGCUUCCGGAGCUAACGCGUUAAGUCGACCGCCUGGGGAGUACGGCCGCAAGGUUAAAACUCAAAUGAAUUGACGGGGGCCCGCACAAGCGGUGGAGCAUGUGGUUUAAUUCGAUGCAACGCGAAGAACCUUACCUGGUCUUGACAUCCACGGAAGUUUUCAGAGAUGAGAAUGUGCCUUCGGGAACCGUGAGACAGGUGCUGCAUGGCUGUCGUCAGCUCGUGUUGUGAAAUGUUGGGUUAAGUCCCGCAACGAGCGCAACCCUUAUCCUUUGUUGCCAGCGGUCCGGCCGGGAACUCAAAGGAGACUGCCAGUGAUAAACUGGAGGAAGGUGGGGGAUGACGUCAAGUCAUCAUGGCCCUUACGACCAGGGCUACACACGUGCUACAAUGGCGCAUACAAAGAGAAGCGACCUCGCGAGAGCAAGCGGACCUCAUAAAGUGCGUCGUAGUCCGGAUUGGAGUCUGCAACUCGACUCCAUGAAGUCGGAAUCGCUAGUAAUCGUGGAUCAGAAUGCCACGGUGAAUACGUUCCCGGGCCCUUGUACACACCGCCCGUCACACCAUGGGAGUGGGUUUGCAAAAGAAGUAGGUAGCUUAACCCUUCGGGAGGGCGCUUACCACUUUGUGAUUCAUGACUGGGGUGAAGUCGUACAGGUAUAACCCGUUAAG
rnacentral:rRNA from 1 species